rnacentral:rRNA from 1 species
UGCCAGCCGCCGCGGUAAUACAGAGGGUGCGAGCGUUAAUCGGAUUGACUGGGCGUAAAGGGCGUGUAGGCGGUACAGUAAGUUAGGUGUAAAAGGCCUAGGCUUAACCGGGGUUAGUCAUUUAAGACUGCUGUACUUGAGUUUGGGAGAGGGAAGCGGAAUUUCCGGUGUAGCGGUGAAAUGCGUAGAUAUCGGAAGGAACACCCGUGGCGAAGGCGGCUUCCUGGCCUAGAACUGACGCUGAGGCGCGAAAGCGUGGGUAGCAAACAGGAUUAGAUA